ensembl:lncRNA
GUCCGGGUGUGUGCCAGUGUGUCUCCCUCUGAGCCGGCAUCUCCACCCCUGGGAGGGGCCUCAGUGUUCUGCUGAUUGCUCACACCUGUGGGUAAUUUAGCCGGGGACUCAUAAGGCCAGCGCACUUAACCUCUCUUUGCCAGAUUCUCAGCUAACCCUACCACACCAAGCUGCCAAACACUAACCCCUGCCAAAGAGCUCCAACCCGGACGCUGGACCACCUGACAGUGCCACGGGCUGUUCACCUGAACCACCUGCCUGACUCCCUGCAUCCACGCCAGGAAUCUCGGACCACACACCGGACCACUCACCCCUCCACGUCACCACCGACCACCCGCGGCAAUGACUCUGACCCUUUCCCUGGACCCAGUGUGACUUUCCCCCCAGUCCAAUCCUCGGAACUGCUGUUUUCACUGACCAAGACCAGAUUGCUUACUUAGCCCAGGCUGCUUAAGACCCCUUUGAUUCAGUUGUGGCACUUCGCACUUGUUAACCUCACUUUCCAGUUUAUAAACACUUACUGAAUAAAUA